rnacentral:rRNA from 1 species
GACAGAGGGGGCAAGCGUUGUUCGGAAUUACUGGGCGUAAAGGGCUCGUAGGCGGCCAACUAAGUCAGACGUGAAAUCCCUCGGCUUAACCGGGGAACUGCAUCUGAUACUGGAUGGCUUGAGUUCGGGAGAGGGAUGCGGAAUUCCAGGUGUAGCGGUGAAAUGCGUAGAUAUCUGGAGGAACACCGGUGGCGAAGGCGGCAUCCUGGACCGACACUGACGCUGAGGAGCGAAAGCCAGGGGAGCAAACGGG